rnacentral:rRNA from 1 species
GUGCCAGCCGCCGCGGUAAAACGUAGGACACAAGCGUUAUCCGGAGUUACUGGGCGUAAAGGGCGUGCAGGCGGUUUCUUAAGUCAGGCGUGAAACCAUUCGGCUAAACCGGGUGUAGUCGUCUGAGACUGGGAGACUUGAGUGUGGUAGAGGCGUGUAGAAUUCCGGGUGUAGUGGUGAAAUGCGUAGAUAUCCGGAGGAAUACCAGUGGCGAAGGCGGCACGCUGGGCCAUAACUGACGCUAAGACGCGAAAGCAUGGGUAGCGAACGGGAUUAGAAACCCGAGUAGUCC